AGCGAGGUGGCGCAAUGGUAGCGUGCUGGGCCCAUAACCCAGAGGUUGCUGGUUCGAAUCCAGUCUUCGCUA
rnacentral:tRNA from 1 species